AGAGUUUGAUCCUGGCUCAGAUUGAACGCUGGCGGCAUGCCUAACACAUGCAAGUCGAACGGAAACGAUGGGAGCUUGCUCCCAGGCGUCGAGUGGCGGACGGGUGAGUAAUACAUAGGAAUCUGCCCAGUAGCGGGGGACAACCUGGUGAAAACCAGGCUAAUACCGCAUACGACCUACGGGUGAAAGCAGGGGAUCUUCGGACCUUGCACUACUGGAUGAGCCUAUGUCAGAUUAGCUUGUUGGUGGGGUAAUGGCCUACCAAGGCGACGAUCUGUAGCUGGUCUGAGAGGACGAUCAGCCACACUGGGACUGAGACACGGCCCAGACUCCUACGGGAGGCAGCAGUGGGGAAUAUUGCACAAUGGGCGAAAGCCUGAUGCAGCAAUGCCGCGUGUGUGAAGAAGGCCUGCGGGUUGUAAAGCACUUUCAGUGGGGAGGAAACAGUUGCGGGUUAAUAUCCCGUGGCCUUGACGUUACCCACAGAAGAAGCACCGGCUAACUCUGUGCCAGCAGCCGCGGUAAUACAGAGGGUGCGAGCGUUAAUCGGAAUUACUGGGCGUAAAGCGCGCGUAGGCGGCUUGGUCAGUCGGAUGUGAAAGCCCCGGGCUUAACCUGGGAAUUGCAUUCGAUACUGCCAGGCUAGAAUGUAGU
rnacentral:rRNA from 1 species